rnacentral:misc_RNA from 1 species
GGAAGUAAAAUCGUAACAAGGUUUCCGUAGGUGAACCUGCGGAAGGAUCAUUAUUGUAUAACCGAGGUGCGAGGGCUGUCGCUGACCCGAAAGGUCGUGCACGCCCGAGUGCCCUCACACACAUCCAUCUCACCCCUAUGUGCACCACCGCGUGGGUCCCCCUUUGGCUUGUUCGGAGGGGGGCUUACGUUUUCACACAAACUUUGUAUGCAGUGUAGAAUGUAUUUUUUGUUUUUGCGAUCACGCAAUCAAUACAACUUUCAACAACAGAUCUCUUGGCUCUC